rnacentral:rRNA from 1 species
ACUUGGAUAACUCGAGGUAAUUCUUAGAGCUAAUACAUGCGAGAAACCUCAACUCACGGAGAGGUGCUUUUAUUAGAUCAAAACCAAACUGCAGCUCGUUUACCCGGGCGGCAGUGUAACCUUGGCGAUUCUGAAUAACUUUGGGCGGAUAGCAUUUGCCUUGUGCAGGCUACGUUUCCUUCGAAGGUGUGCCCUAUCAACUUUCGACUGUGACACAGCUGAUCACAGUGGUUUUGACGGGUAACGGGGAAUCAGGGUUCGAUUCCGGAGAGGGAGCCUUAAAAACAGCUACCACAUCCAAGGAAGGCAGCAGGCACGCAAAUUACCCAAUGGUCGAAGACCGAGGUAGUGACGAAAAAUAACAAUACCGGACUCUUCCGAGGCCCGGUAAUUGGAAUGAGUACACUUUAAAACCGUUCCCGAGGAUCUAUU